AAAGAGCCGUCCCCGUGCUCCCUUUUUUUCACCGGUUUCAGUCCCUCCUUCGCCGCCACCGCCGUCACCUCCCAUUCCCCUCUGCUCUAAUCGCUACUUAACUAAAUCCAUCCUUUCUGUCUGAAUCCUCCUAAAAUUUUACCCAACCCAAGAUCCCAGAUCGAGUGAGGAUGAAUUUUGCGGGCAAGUGAUCGGGGGUAAAUCUUCAUCCUUUUCUUGCUGAUAUCUUCGUCUUUAUUUUCCAUUUCGGCUUAAAUUGUUUGAUAAUUAGGAGGGAACGGGUCUGUCUCUGUUUCUGGUUCUAGGUUGUUGAGUUUCCAAUCAAUAUUUGUUAAAUCAAAGCUUUUGGGCUGGCUAAUUAACUUGAAUUAUUGGGGUUAUUGCAUUUCAUUUGCAUGUGGCUAGCUGCUGUGACGACUAGGAGUUGUAGGUAUUUUGGUUGUAAUGCUAAAACGAGUGAGAUUCGGUUGGCUUUGAAGCAAACCCAUUACUUUUUCCUAACUAUUCCUUUUGGAGGAUUAGAGUGCAAGCCUGGCACCACAGAAUUUGCGGUUCAGAAAUCCCAACUGAGUUGGGAAGGGACUUGUCAAUUGGCACUACAAGAUAAAAUGGAUACUUCAACGAGAGCUUCCCUGGAGUCACUGAUACACCACAAGAUAAAAUGGAUACUUCAACGAGAGCUUCCCUGGAGUCACUGAUACUUGGAAUGAGAUUCUGUACAAUAUUUUUAUCUAGAAUGAUUCAUGUUAUAGCAGACAACUAAUUCCCAGGUCCUCAUUCCUAGUUGAAUUCAUUACUGUGAUGAGGACAUUAGGAAAUUUAGUUAGAGUUGUUAUGUCUAACAUUAAUUAGAAGACAUGACAUAUGAUUGCAUACAUCGAAAUCUGGCAAACUGAUCAAUAAUUUAGUUUUUAGAGUAAGUAAUGCACCUCCAGAUUCUCAUAUAGGAAGCUUCCCUGUUCUAGAGUAACAUAGAUUCUCAUAUAGGAAGCUUCCCUGUUCUAGAGUAACCAAAAAUGCAAGCUUGGGAUUUCUGGACUUCUAAAUGCUUAAUGUUAUCUUAAUCCUUUCCUCUAACUAGUAUUUUUUUGCUGUCAUUUUGCACUUAAUGAGAUCUGAAUUUUUUUUUCUAUUCUUUGGUGCAAUGAAUAUUAGGUACUUGUUCCAAUGGAAGGAGAAGAAGAGCACAAUGUUGAGCGAGUUUCAUCAACAGAUUCUAUACCUGAAAGUGGAGAGGCUACCGGAGAAAGUUCAGCCAAGCGAAUUAGG
rnacentral:lncRNA from 1 species